AUUGAACGCUGGCGGCAGGCCUAACACAUGCAAGUCGAGCGGAUGACGGGAGCUUGCUCCUGGAUUCAGCGGCGGACGGGUGAGUGAUGCCUAGGAAUCUGCCUGGUAGUGGGGGACAACGUUUCGAAAGGAACGCUAAUACCGCAUACGUCCUACGGGAGAAAGCAGGGGACCUUCGGGCCUUGCGCUAUCAGAUGAGCCUAGGUCGGAUUAGCUUGUUGGUGAGGUAAUGGCUCACCAAGGCGACGAUCCGUAACUGGUCUGAGAGGAUGAUCAGUCACACUGGAACUGAGACACGGUCCAGACUCCUACGGGAGGCAGCAGUGGGGAAUAUUGGACAAUGGGCGAAAGCCUGAUCCAGCCAUGCCGCGUGUGUGAAGAAGGUCUUCGGAUUGUAAAGCACUUUAAGUUGGGAGGAAGGGUUGUAGAUUAAUACUCUGCAAUUUUGACGUUACCGACAGAAUAAGCACCGGCUAACUCUGUGCCAGCCGCCGCGGUAAAAC
rnacentral:rRNA from 1 species